UACCAGCACCCCGAGUGGUCGGGACGUUUUAUUGGGCCUAAAGCAUCCGUAGCCGGUUCUACAAGUCUUCCGUUAAAUCCAACUGCUUAACAGGUGGGCUGCGGAAGAUACUAUAGAGCUAGGAGGCGGGAGAGGCAAGCGGUACUCGAUGGGUAGGGGUAAAAUCCGUUGAUCCAUUGAAGACCACCAGUGGCGAAGGCGGCUUGCCAGAAUGCGCUCGACGGUGAGGGAUGAAAGCUGGGGGAGCAAACCGG
rnacentral:rRNA from 1 species